UACGGGGGGGUGCGAGCGUUGUCCGGAAUCACUGGGCGUAAAGGGCGCGUAGGUGGCCUGAUAAGGGUGUGGUGAAAGUCCGGGGCUCAACCCCCGGAUCUGCCGUGCCGACUGUUGGGCUGGAGUACUGUAGGGGCAGGCGGAAUUCCGGGUGUAGCGGUGGAAUGCGUAGAGAUCCGGAAGAACACCGGUGGCGAAGGCGGCCCGCUGGGCUGUUGCUGACGCUGAGGCGCGACAGCGUGGGGAGCAAACAGG
rnacentral:rRNA from 1 species